rnacentral:rRNA from 1 species
AUGAGGGCGGCAUGCCUCCGUGGGAGCGUUUGCACGAGCUUUGCCUCUUACACUUCGGGCCACCGGUACGCGGGAGCCGGCUGGCGGAGCUUGGGCGCCUACCCUUCACCUCUUCGGUGCAGGACUUCGCCGACCGCUUCCAGGCCCUGGCGUGCCACGCGCCCAGCAUCACGGCUCGCCAGCAGGCCGAGCUCUUUGUUGGCGGUCUGCCGGAUCAUAUCCGCGUGGACGUGGAGAUGCAGGGCUCACAGGACCUCCAGACGGCCAUGUACUAUGCCCGCACCUUCGAGCGGCGCGCGGUGGCCAUGCAGCAGGCGUCACCGUCCCGGGGCGCCCGACAGACCGCCCGGCCGCCACCGACACCACCAGCGGCGGGACGUCCGGCCCAGGCCCCCGCGACGCAUCAUUUCCGCCGGCUCACCCCGACCGAGCAGCUCAAGCGCCGCCGUCAGGGGUUGUGCUACAAUUGCGACGCCUUCUCGUGGGAUACUGAGGCAACCGAGGCGUUCACGUCCCUCAAGCAGGCGCUCACGACGGGGCCGGUCCUCCAGAUGUCGGACUUCGACAAGCUCUUCAUGGUGGACUGUGACGCCUAGGGCGUGGGGUUUGGCGCCGUCCUACAUCAGGGUGACGGGCCACUCGCGUUCUUCAGCAGGUCCUUCGCAGCACGCCACCACAAGCUCGCGGCCUACGAGCGGGAGCUCAUUGGCUUGGUGCAGGUGGUGCGCCACUGGAGGCCAUAUUUGUGGGGGCGGCCAUUCCGUAUUCGCACGAUCACUACAGCCUCAAGUUCUUGUUGGACCAGCGCCUCUCCACCGUGCCGCAACAUCAGUGGAUCAGCAAGUUGUUUGGCUUCGACUUCACCGUCGAGUACCGUCCGGGCCGCCUCAACACUGUGGCCGACGCACUGUCUCGCCGCGACGCCGACCACGACACCGACACGGACGGGCCCGCGGGCGCAGCCCUCUGCAUCCGCUCUAG